rnacentral:rRNA from 1 species
GACGAACGCUGGCGGCGUGCUUAACACAUGCAAGUCGAACGGAAAGGCCCUGCUUUUGUGGGGUGCUCGAGUGGCGAACGGGUGAGUAACACGUGAGUAACCUGCCCUUGACUUUGGGAUAACUUCAGGAAACUGGGGCUAAUACCGGAUAGGAGCUCCUGCUGCAUGGUGGGGGUUGGAAAGUUUCGGCGGUUGGGGAUGGACUCGCGGCUUAUCAGCUUGUUGGUGGGGUAGUGGCUUACCAAGGCUUUGACGGGUAGCCGGCCUGAGAGGGUGACCGGCGACAUUGGGACUGAGAUACGGCCCAGACUACUACGGGAGGCAGCAGUGGGGAAUAUUGCACAAUGGGCGGAAGCCUGAUGCAGCAACGCCGCGUGCGGGAUGACGGCCUUCGGGUUGUAAACCGCUUUCGCCUGUGACGAAGCGUGAGUGACGGUAAUGGGUAAAGAAGCACCGGCUAACUACGUG